UUUUAAUAUAAAAUAAUCAACUGCACUAUGUUCUGCUGUAUUUCUAUAUCUACAUUAAUAUAAAAAUGUGAUAUAAUAAUAACCAUUACAUCUCAUAUACAAAAUAAUAAAUAAUAUUUUCGCUUUCUUCUUCCAUAAAGAAUAAUGACUUAAAAAUAUAUGGUCGGAACCUGUUAAUGCGAGGGGUUGAGAUUCACGGUAAGGGUAGACUAUAUGAACUCAUCUAUUUUCCUAUGUUGUCAGCACGGGCUCGACUGUGCAUUUGUAGUGCGCUCAGAGCGUAUACUUGGCUUAUCGGCGACGGAGUGGGGUACGUAGUAUCAAAAACGUAAGGAGAAUAAGAGUUCUUCAUCUUUGUGUGACAGUGUAGUGCUGCUGACUGUUUCUUAAUUAGGAACUACAGCUGAAAUUUGUAUUAACAAAAACUCUUUGUGUACGCCAAACUCCUUAUUGUGAUACUGAAGCGUGUGUAUAUAUAUAUAUUCAAAUUUCAAGUGUUGUUCCUCAAUGAAGAAACAGGUAUCAACACUAUACUGCCACACAAACAUGACGGUCUCUCAUUCCCCUUACCUUUUUGGCAUCACUUUACCGUAACUAGGCACUCUCCUUAUGGUCCGUGGUUCUUGGUUAUAUUCGGGUGGUAGCAUGGACUUAAUAACUCCAUGGUGGGAAUCAAACGAUCUCAAAUGGAUCCGAGUGAUACCGAGUCAAACGGAAUACAGCCAAAGUGCACGUAGCCUCACCUUACGGCGGAUCCCUUGCCGUAAUCCAUAUAUGCCCCCACCCAUAUAUUCUUUGGUCUAUGGUAUAUGAGCAUAUUGUAUAGUGAUAGCUAAGUUUCUGCAAGCUUCUCCGGUCGAAGCGCGCUUCGUUAGCGAUAAUAGGAGUAUAAAUUGCAUUGCUCUGAUUGGCUAACGACUCAAUGCUAAGAAAGAAUCCACUGCGAAUUUCAUGCGCAGAUACAAGCUCUUCCUUGGGGAGGAAAAAAAACCGUGUAGGAGUUGAGGUAUCAUUGUAGACGCAGGGUAUUUGAUUGUUUGAUAGUACUCGGAUAAAACGUUAAAAUAUGAAUCUUUAGAUAAAUAUAAGACAGAAAUCACUAACAAAAAUGCGAUUUCAGUAUCAAUUUAAAGCUAUUAACAAUUAGAAAUCUAUCUUAUCCGCCAAAAGUAGCCUUCGACAGUUGGACUGCGAGAAGCGUUAACGUAUUGGACAAGAGCCAAACACCGUACUAACGGUGACACAAUUAUUGGUUGAUUUAGAUUUUUAAUCACUUUAAAACAAUAACAAAGUAGCAGUUUCUUCAUUCCUUGAUUUCAGUAACAUAUUGUCAUGAACGUUCAUCUUUUAAAUAUUCUCCCGUCUGUUCACGGAUAUUUUGUAUAGCAUUGUACUCGAAAAAUAAUUUAUUGAUUACUACAUGUCCUUUAAUAAUUAUUCUAAUCGUAAUAAAUUCGUAAAUAGUCA